CCUGCCGCCCCUCGCGGGUGUUCUCCGGGCCCGGGGGUCGGGGCGGGCCCGGCGGCGGCGCAGCGCCGUGCUGAGGGCUGGGUGCUGCACGGCGGAUGGCGGCGGCCCCGGCCGGAGGCAAUAAAACACCGGGAAUGAUGCGGCAAAACGGGCCGGAGCUGCGUGGCGAAAUAAAUCAUCCCACGCGGAGGAGGCGGUUUUCUGCCCGGCCUUUCGCGUUGGCCCCCGACAAAGCCCCGGCGGGCAGCGAGGGCCGGGCUGGAUGCGGCCCUGCACGGCGCCCCCGGCCGCUGCCAUCAUCUCCUCCCACCUCCCUCGCCUUCACCUUGGAGCGAGCGGCUCGCCGAGCUGCCAGCGGUGAUAAAAUGGCUGUGCCCCGAAUUUAUGGGGCUUAUCUGGAGCCCUGGGGACAAGCAGGCACCGAGCAGCACCCGGGCUGGGGGAAGCACCGCGCCGGAGCCCUCCCUCCACGCUGCCGCAGUGACAUCCAUCACAAGUUUCCAAGCCUCAUCUAAUUUUGGAGGCCUUCAGCAAAUCCAGGCGCUGUCGCUGCCAAACGAGGCUGCCAAUGUUUCCCUCGGAAGACGGCUUUGCUCCGAAGGACCCUUCUGGAUGGUUUUGCUUUGAAUAGAAGGAUGGAACCGGGCGGCAUCGCUGUGGGAUGGCCCCGCUGCGGUGUGAGCCUUCCCUUUGUCGCCCUUCAGCCAUGAAAAGUGGGAGGUUCGGACCGUGUCCAGGGAAAAGAAUGGGACAGAGGGGCCGAGGGAAGCCAGAGGCGGUGAGGUCGGCGUGCCGGGAGGUGCGAGGGCUUGCAGAAACCCAACUGCUUCUGCAGUUACCCGGCGUCAGGAAAAUGAAGCUGAAGUGUGAAAAAAUGAAAGUGAAAAAGAUAGGAACCAACCCACGGCUAUUUAUUCUAAAAAUACUGACCUAAAUACUUAAGUGCACGUAUAAAAGUAGUUGUCUUUUCUUAUUCCCUUUAUGGACUCCCCUGCUUUGGUUCUUGUUUUGCUCAGAAAUCGGAGGGAUGGGCUCCUCGGGGGCACCCACCCCAUUCCUCCUGUGCUUUGCCGUGUGCCCCAAGCCCACCCAGAGCCCUGUAUGGGGCGGGGACACCCACAGGUGGCUGAUAAGGGAGCAGGGAGUGAUAUGGCCCCAGGGUGAGGAGCAUUUGGGCUGUGGCUCUGGCCUGGAGUUACCUGCCUGAGCGCUGGGUUGCAUAGGGAGG
ensembl:lncRNA